UUGGAGGGCAAGUCUGGUGCCAGCAGCCGCGGUAAUUCCAGCUCCAAUAGCGUAUAUUAAAGUUGUUGCAGUUAAAAAGCUCGUAGUUGAAUUUCGGGAUCAGAUUGUUGGUCGUGCCUCGGUACGUACUGGCAUUAUUGGUUCCUACCUUCUGAAGAACCGCGAUGUCAUUAAUUUGGUGUCGUGGGGAAUCAGGACUGUUACUUUGAAAAAAUUAGAGUGUUUAAAGCAAGCUAACGCUUGAAUACAUUAGCAUGGAAUAAUGAAAUAGGACGUUCGAUCCUAUUUUGUUGGUUUCUAGGAUUGACGUAAUGAUUAAUAGGGAUAGUUGGGGGCAUUAGUAUUCAAUUGUCAGAGGUGAAAUUCUUGGAUUUAUUGAAGACUAACUACUGCGAAAGCAUUUGCCAAGGAUGUUUUCAUUAAUCAAGAACGAAAGUUAGGGGAUCGAAGACGAUCAGAUACCGUCGUAGUCUUAACCAUAAACUAUGCCGACUAGGGAUCGGAUGAUGUUAAUUUUAUAAUGACUCAUUCGGCGCCUUACGGGAAAC
rnacentral:rRNA from 1 species